GGAAUAUUGGGCAAUGGAGGAAACUCUGACCCAGCGACGCCGCGUGCGGGAUGAAGGCCUUCGGGUUGUAAACCGCUUUCAGCAGGGAAGAAGCGAAAGUGACGGUACCUGCAGAAGAAGCACCGGCUAACUAUGUGCCAGCAGCCGCGGUAAUACAUAGGGUGCAAGCGUUGUCCGGAAUUAUUGGGCGUAAAGAGCUCGUAGGUCGUUUGUUACGUCGGAUGUGAAAACCUGAGGCUCAACCUCAGGCCUGCAUUCGAUACGGGCAAACUAGAGUUUGGUAGGGGAGACUGGAAUUCCUGGUGUAGCGGUGGAAUGCGCAGAUAUCAGGAGGAACACCAAUGGCGAAGGCAGGUCUCUGGGCCAAUACUGACACUGAGGAGCGAAAGUCUGGGGAGCGAACAGGAUUAGAUACCCUGGUAGUCCAGACCGUAAACGGUGGGCACUAGUUGUGGGAACCUUCCACGGUUUCUGCGACGCAGCUAACGCAUUAAGUGCCCCGCCUGGGGAGUACGAUCGCAAGAUUAAAACUCAAAGGAAUUGACGG
rnacentral:rRNA from 1 species